UACGAAGGGGGCUAGCGUUGCUCGGAAUCACUGGGCGUAAAGGGUGCGUAGGCGGGUCUUUAAGUCAGGGGUGAAAUCCUGGAGCUCAACUCCAGAACUGCCUUUGAUACUGAAGAUCUUGUGUUCGGGAGAGGUGAGUGGAACUGCGAGUGUAGAGGUGAAAUUCGUAGAUAUUCGCAAGAACACCAGUGGCGAAGGCGGCUCACUGGCCCGAUACUGACGCUGAGGCACGAAAGCGUGGGGAGCAAACAGG
rnacentral:rRNA from 1 species